GAACGAACGCUGGCGGCGUGCUUAAUACAUGCAAGUCGAACGAGAAUUUCCGGCUUCGGUCGGAAUAGUAAAGUGGCGAACGGGUGAGUAGCACGUGGAUAAUCUUCCCCUGAAUCCGGGAUAAUCUUUCGAAAGGAAGUCUAAUACCAGAUAACACUAUCGGGUGACAUCACCUGAUAGUCAAAGACGGAGCAAUCUGCCGUUGAGGGAUGAGUCCGCGCCCCAUUAGCUGGUUGGUAGGGUAAUGGCCUACCAAGGCGACGAUGGGUAGCCGGCCUGAGAGGGCGACCGGCCACACUGGGACUGAGAUACGGCCCAGACUCCUACGGGAGGCAGCAGUAAGGAAUAUUGCGCAAUGGACGAAAGUCUGACGCAGCAACGCCGCGUGAGUGAUGAAGAUCUUUGGAUCGUAAAGCUCUUUCAGUGGGGAAGAAAAGUAUGACGAGUAACUGCGUUGUGCCUGACGGUACUCACAGAAGAAGUCCCGGCUAACUCCGUGCCAGCAGCCGCGGUAAUACGGGGGGGACGAGCGUUGUUCGGAUUUACUGGGCGUAAAGGGCGCGUAGGCGGACUUUCAAGUCGGAAGUGAAAACCGGAGGCUUAACCUCAGCUUGCUUUCGAUACUGUCAGUCUUGAGUACAGAAGAGGAAAGCGGAAUUCCAGGUGUAGCGGUGAAAUGCGUAGAUAUCUGGGAAGAACACCAGUAGCGAAGGGCGGCUUUCUGGUCUGAUACUGACGCUAAAGCGCGAAGGGCUAGGGGAGCAAACAGGAUUAGAUACCCUGGGUAGUCCUAGCGGUAAACGAUGGGUACUAGGUGUCGGGGGUAUCGACCCCCUCGGUGCCGAAGUUAACGCAUUAAGUACCCCGCCUGGGGAGUACGACCGCAAGGUUGAAACUCAAAGAAAUUGACGGGGGCCCGCACAAGCGGUGGAGUAUGUGGUUUAAUUCGAGGCAACGCGAAGAACCUUACCUGGGCUUGACAUGUUUGAGACCGCUGGUGAAAGCCAGCUUUCCCUUCGGGGACUCUUGCACAGGUGCUGCAUGGCUGUCGUCAGCUCGUGCCGUGAGGUGUUGGGUUAAGUCCCGCAACGAGCGCAACCCUUGUCCAUAGUUGCCAUCAGGUAACGCUGGGGACUCUAUGGAGACUGCCGGUGAUAAGCUGGAGGAAGGUAGGGACGACGUCAAGUCAUCAUGGCCCUUAUGUCCAGGGCUACACACGUACUACAAUGGCCGGUACAGAAGGAUGCAAGAUCGCGAGAUGGAGCCAACCCUUAAAACCGGCCUCAGUUCAGAUUGAAGUCUGCAACUCGACUUCAUGAAGGUGGAAUCGCUAGUAAUCGCGAAUCAGCAGGUCGCGGUGAAUACGUUCCCGGGCCUUGUACACACCGCCCGUCAAGCCACGGAAGUUGGGAGCACCCGAAGUCGUUUACCUAACCGCAAGGAAGGUGACGCCUAAGGUGAAACCGAUGACUGGGGC
rnacentral:rRNA from 1 species